AAAAUUCGUAUAAAAUGAGUGACUUGUGUCUCAAUUUCUCUCAGUUUCGAGCAGAUUGUUCAGACCUACGGGUAGAAAAAAAUCAAUUUAAAAAAUUCCAAAGUUUCCAGAUUUCGAAAAAAUUCCCACGGAAAAUGGAAUUCUUUUUCCGACUUGUUCGUGUCCUCUUACUUCUUACUUUAUUCGCUUGUUUUUUUCUUGGAAAAGUGGACACCACCAUAAUUUGUGCUUGUAUAGCUCCCAAGUGUAACAAUUACACCGAUACGUACACCUGUCAAACCGUGGGUCCCUUGGGGCUGCCAAUUUUUAAAAGCGGAGGCACCUGCCAAUUUGUCAACCAACAAUGCGGCUUUCGAUGUCAGGGUGGGUUCGGGGAUAUUUGUGCCUCCAUCUAAAAAUAAGAGGUACGAGGACUUGGACUAAUCUCUCGCAAAAAUAAAUUGAUUGCAGUAAAGAGACGAUUUUAUUGUAAAAAUACAUAAACGGGUUUAAUAAAGUCUUAAAUUUGUGCGGUGUAAAAUAAAUAUUUUCAUUUCAAGUGCA